AGAAGAGUGAAAUAGUUCCUGAAACCAUGCGCCUACAAGCGGUCGGAGCUGCUUUUGCAGUGACGGCGUGCCUUUUGCAUAAUGAACCUACGAGUUACCGUAUCUGGCAAGGAUAAGCGGCAGGAGCCGCGCAUCCGCAGUGAAAGCGAGCCUGAAGAGGGCGUCAUAGUCAGAUGUGGUAGACGCGAAACCAAGUGAUCUACACAUGUCCAGGAUGAAGUCCCGGUAACACGGGAUGGAGGUCCGAACGGAUAAGCGUUGAAAAGCUUCCCGAUGAGGUGUGUGUAGGAGUGAAAGGCCAAUCAAACUUGGAGAUAGCUCGUACUCCCCGAAAGGCAUUUAGGUGCCGCGUGCAGUGUUCUCCCCAAGAGGUAGAGCGACCGAUAGGACGCGAGGGCUUCACCGCCUAUCAAGUCCUGACGAACUCCGAAUGCUUAGGGGAUAGUAGCUGCGCAGUAAGGGGACGGGUGCUAAGGUCCGUUCCCGAGAGGAGAAGAAUCCAGACCGCCGUCUAAGGUCCCGGAGUUCUGCCUGAGUUAGUCUAACGAAGUCUGGUCCCCGCGACAGCCAGGAUGUUGGCUUGGAAGCAGCCAUUCAUUUAAAGAGUGCGUAACAGCUCACUGGUCGAGGGUCCGGGCGUGGAUAAUAAUCGGGUAUAAGGCAGACACCGAAGACGCGGGAUAGCAUUGAAAAAAGUAUCGGUAGGGGAGCAUUCCAUGGGCGUUGAAUGCGGUGAGGCGAUCACCGCUGGAGCCUAUGGAAAAGCAAAUGUAGGUAUAAGUAACGAUAAGGAGGGUAAGAUUCCCUCCCGCCGUAAGACUAAGGUUUCCCGGGCAAUGCCAAUCAUCCCGGGGUCAGUCGGGUCCUAAGGCUCAGCCGAACGGCGAGGCCGAUGGCAGAAAGGGUUAACAUUCCCUUACUGCCGCACGGAGCGAUGCGGAGACGGAGGCGUGACACCACCGCGGAGAUACGGAAUUCUCCGUUGAAGGGCGUAGGCGUUGAGGGCGGCAGGCAAAUCCACCGCCCGAGUCGAACCUCGAAAGUAUGCCUUUCCCUUCGGGGCGAGGCAAUAGCGUGGGUAACCAUACUCCCGAGAAAAUCCGCUAAGCUCAAUCCGUGCGGCACCCGUACCGCAAACGGACACACGUAGUCGGGUAGAACAUACUGAGGCGUUGAGAGAUUCAUGGUUAAGGAACUAGGCAAACUGACCCCGUAACUUCGGGAUAAGGGGUCCUCAUAGCAAUAUGAGGCGCAGAGAAUAGGUCCAGGCAACUGUUUAACAAAAACACAGGGCUGUGCAAACUCGAAAGAUGACGUAUACAGCCUGACACCUGCCCGGUGCCGGAAGGUUAAGAGGAGAGCUCAGAGGCAACUCGAAGGUUUGAAUUGAAGCCCCGGUAAACGGCGGCCGUAACUAUAACGGUCCUAAGGUAGCGAAAUUCCUUGUCGGGU
rnacentral:rRNA from 1 species